rnacentral:rRNA from 1 species
UACAGAGGUCUCAAGCGUUGUUCGGAUUCAUUGGGCGUAAAGGGUGUGUAGGUGGCGCCGUAAGUCGGGUGUGAAAUUUCGGAGCUUAACUCCGAAACUGCAUUCGAUACUGCGGUACUUGAGGACUGGAGAGGAGACUGGAAUUCAUGGUGUAGCAGUGAAAUGCGUAGAGAUCAUGAGGAAGACCAGUGGCGAAGGCGGGUCUCUGGACAGUUCCUGACACUGAGACACGAAGGCCAGGGGAGCAAACGGG